rnacentral:lncRNA from 1 species
UCUCCAUAAUCUGGAUUCCACUACACCUCAUACUCUGGAGACAUGAGUAUUCCUCAUUUUUCCCAGAAGAAUCAUGGAAGGAGUCUUUGUAUGCCUUCCCUUGAACCUUGGCAGCAUCUUGAGGGGAGAGCGUCCUCUCCCACCCACCCUUUUUUUUUUUUUUUUUUUUUUUGGUUCCUGUGAAAUGUUGAUCUCUGUGAGUUUUUCCUGGUUCUUGUGUUUUGGGGGUUGGAGUGGGAGGGAGGGAGUCUAGGGAGGGAGGGGCACAGCUCAGGACAUCUAGGCCUCAGAUUGUGAUGAUCCAGGGAGUUAGCUCCCUAAAUUCUUGGGUGACUGAUGGUUUAACUUGGUAAGUUGUAAUCUUUCCUGAAAGAGGAAGGAGCUGAAGUUGGUUGGCCCUGCUGCACCCCCUUACAAGGUUGUGAGGCCCUCUCCCCCCCAACUUUGUUUAAGGCAUUUUGGUUUUUUAAAAUCUGUACAGUAAAAGCAACUUUUUCUGUCAAAUAAAAAUGAGAAAUGC